AUGCGUUUGCGUUUGGAAAUGCAGUUGGAGAAUUGGUUUGGUUUGAUUUAUAUGGCAAUGGCAAUAAAGAAGAAAAAAACAAAGAAUCGCGGUGAGUCGUUGUUACUAGUAAUUAACUCGAACGAGUCAAAACCGAGUCACCGACGAUUCUCUCACGAGCGGUCCGCAUCAACAGUUGGAACCUGA